rnacentral:rRNA from 1 species
UACGUAGGUGGCAAGCGUUGUCCGGAUUUAUUGGGUUUAAAGGGUGCGUAGGCGGCCCUGUAAGUCAGUGCUGAAAUAUCCCAGCCUAACUGGGAGGGUGGCAUUGAUACUGCGGGGCUAGAGUACAGAUGAGGUAGGCGGAAUUGACGGUGUAGCGGUGAAAUGCUUAGAUAUCGUCAAGAACACCUAUAGCGAAGGCAGCUUACUAGGCUGUAACUGACGCUGAGGCACGAAAGUGUGGGGAUCAAACAGG